rnacentral:tRNA from 9 species
GGCUAGGUAGCUCAGCUGGUUAGAGCACAUGACUCAUAAUCAUGGGGUCGGGGGUUCGAGUCCCCCCCUCGCCACCA